rnacentral:rRNA from 1 species
UACGGAGGAUCCAAGCGUUAUCCGGAAUCAUUGGGUUUAAAGGGUCCGUAGGCGGUUUUGUAAGUCAGUGGUGAAAGCCCAUCGCUCAACGGUGGAACGGCCAUUGAUACUGCAAGACUUGAAUUAUUAGGAAGUAACUAGAAUAUGUAGUGUAGCGGUGAAAUGCUUAGAUAUUACAUGGAAUACCGAUUGCGAAGGCAGGUUACUACUAAUAUAUUGACGCUGAUGGACGAAAGCGUGGGGAGCGAACAGG